GUCUGCUUGGUGUCACAGGAGAGGGCAAACAGUGCUUGGGGACUACCACCAGAAGUCUGUAAUCCAGAAGAAGCCUCCUGGCAAGCUAGAACCAGCUCAGGGAGGGGGCAGGCUUCUCCUUUUGUUUCUAGUCCCCCAGGAGUGGCAUGCCCUAGGCUCCAGGUCACAUGGUCAGCUUGCUGGAGCCUCGAGUCCAACCGGCCAGCGCCUGUGGAGCAGCGGAAAGAGCCUCUGGGGCGCCUGGUUAACCCCUCAGUGGCUGGCCCGCUCCUCUCCCACGCACCACACCCAGGGGGAUCGACUCGGAUAAUCACUCAGAAUUUCCUGCCUCCCCACUCUGGGCCUGGGACGGCGUCGGAGCCAGGAUCUUGGCCACAAUAGAGUCUGGGACUUCCUGCCCCGCUAUGGCUCGUAGAGACUGUGAGAACUGGGCCAAGCGCUCCAUUUAGCUCCCUCCCUCCCCUGGCCUGGCUAGAGCCUGGGGUGGUGGUGGGGGCGGAGGAGAGCUCGAGAAGCGGUGGAGGUCUGGAGGAAGUCAGGCAGGGGCGACCCCCGUUCUGAGCCCCAGAGACAACAUCCUGUGGGAUCGCAGAACUGCUUGGUACCCCCUUCCUUCUCCUUCACCCUCCCCAUCCUGUCACCCUCUCGAGGUCCCCAGGGUCUGUCUCCCCAAUCGCUGCUGGGCAGGUGCUCCUGGGGGUGGGGAUGGGGGUGGGGAUAGAGGGGAAAGGAUCGGAGGCUGUUGCUAUGGAGCUUGAAGGCCUGGGGCGGGCAGUGGCCGCGGGGAGCCUGGUUUCCAGGGCUUCGUGUGCGGACGCAGUGGGCUGUAGAGAUUCCAGGCCUCCGCUUGUCCGCGCUCCAGGCGGCGGGCGGGCUGGCGCGGGCUCCUCUAGGGCGGCUGAGCGCGGCGCCGGGCUCUCUGCGGCUCGCCGGCUCCCUGCCUCUGCAGAGCUGGCCUUAAUCACGGAGGUGAUAAUGAGCCCGCCUUGCAGGAGGGAGGCAUACUCUUGGCCCUGCCAGCGACACACAGGCUUAUGGGGUACACGCAGAAACUAGAGGCAUCUAUAUGCAUCCCAAGUGCCCACCGACUCAGAGCCACCCGUGUACACACAUGAACAUAUAUUGUUUGUGCAAGACAUACACAUGUAACUAAACACAAGACAUAGGUAUAUAGUAUUUAGGGCUUGGAAGAAACCUUGGAAAGCAGAUGGGGAAAUUUGCAGCGUCAAGAGGGAAAGUGACCUGCUCAAACUGACCAGAGCUGGGAUUUAAAACUAGUUUAUUCCAAGCCCAGUGUUCCCCUGCCUCCCCCCUCCCUACAAUACUCUGCCUAUAGCUCAUGCUAUUAACCCGUGCAUUUAAAUAUAUUCCCCAAUGAUCUCUUCCAGCGACUGGUUGCCAACCCACCAGCCCACAGUAUUCUUUUGCUAUCACUGCGGAGAGAGAGCUCCCCAGUUUUUCAGGGUUAGGGCCGGAUUGUCCAGAAUAGGGGUGGGGGUGGGGAGUUGGGCUCUGAGCCAAGAACAGUAUAGCACUUCGGCCUUUGGGAUGAAAGGGGCAGGGAGGGGACCAGGACUAUUAUUAAAAUGUAGAGAACCCAUAAAGAGGAAAUAUCUUUGGUCUGGGAGUAAGGGCUUUUUUGGCUGUAGUCUAGCCUCUGCAAAUGGAUUAAAACUGUACGACCUUGAACAAAAUUA